AUUCAUUCCACACAUAACCCAGCUACUAGCUGGGUCUAGUUUUAACCUAGCAUUUACCACAUCUCUUCCACAUCCUCUAAGUGUUGACCAUUCCCUAGGAAUUUAUGAUAAUACCUGAGGGGUUGGCUUUUCCAUAAAAUUAGACUUUGCCUUAAAUAAGCAACACCUUAAAACCCAAGCUCCUUCAAACAUUUCAAAAAGUGUCUAUUUUCACAGAGAAAACCCAGCAACUCAUGUGGCCUUCUGAGAAGAUAGCAUAUGGGUGACAGGCAGGGACACAGAUAUUAGGGCAAUGGAGUGCAAAUAAAUUAAUGUCCUAUUAUAAAUGCUUUUCCUGAAAGUCCCUCCAUGAUGCUGUUGCCCAGGAAGCCUCAUGUAUCUUCCCCUCCCCCUUUUCUGUUCUCCACCUCUGGGACCUGCUGUGAUCUUUCCCACGUCUGUCUCUGCCUGCACCAGCGACUUCACUCUUUAUAGACGAAUUGGUUCUCCUGAGAAUACAACCUAGCUUAAAUACAUACAUUUAUUUUUAUUUAGAGAGUAAUAAAUGCUACUUUUUAAGAUGUAGGUAAGACUUGUCCAUGUUUCUACCUGUUUUAAACCUAGAUGUGAAUAUUUUCACAAAAUGUGAAACUCUUGUAUAGAUCCCAGCUGAAGAGGUAUGAUUCCUAGAUGAGAAACCAUGUCCUUCUUUUCCUUGUGGCAUAGCUGGAGCAGGAGCACUGUGCUCCUACCAGCUUUGCUUUCUUCCACCCAAUGCAGUCUGGGUGGUGUGCAGUGGCCCAGGUGGAGGCUGCACAGGAAAGAAGUUUGCAUCACAUCAGAUCUAUUCCCCUCCUUAAAUGACCAUGUGGGUCCCACCUUCAGCCAGCUGAAGGUGCCCUUUAGGGUUAGAAAGUCAGGUGUCUCUUCUAUCCGUUCUCUAUUGAUGUUUCAGUAUGAAGAACAAUUAAAUUCUUGAACAUUGUAGAAAAACAUGAAAUUAUGUAUUAUGAUACAAUUAGGCAACUUUUGACAUAUAUUUUGGUACUGAGGACUGAACCUGGGGGUGCUUUACCAUUGAGUGACACUGAGCUUCAUCCCAACCCCUUUUCUUUUUCAGUUUUGAGACAGAGUCUUGCUAAGUUGUUGAGGCUGGCCUUGAACUUGGAAUGCUCCUCUCUCAGCUUCCUGUGUUGCUGGGAUUUCAUGCACAUGCCACAGCACCCAGCAGGACUUUGUAUUUUUUUAUGCAGACAAAGCAGAGCCUGGAUAAAUUAAGUAGAAUGGCUCACAGCUCAUGAGAAUAAAGAGGCUGGCAGUGGGAAAACACACCGAUAUUAGGUCAUUGAUGUUCACCAACCACCCUGUGGGGUUGGAAAACAGAGCAACAUUAACAUUUAGUAUGGAGGAGAGGGUGUGGAAAGUCACAAAGGAGCCCAUCAGGAGAAGGAUUCUCUGGGUGGCUCUUGACUCAGGGCAGGAUCUGGGGGAAACUUUGAUACUGUGAAUGUGCUGAACCCAUUGCUUGUGCCUGAACAGAAGGAGAACCAUGGAGCCACCGGACCAUAUCAUGAGCACAGAAAAGACAAACUCAGGAAAUACAAACAAUGCUGCAUAUAAUGAAUUUGGUAUUUUGUCACAACCUGCAGAAGUACAGUACCCAAAAUCUAUGUCAGGUUUUUGCUACUCCAUAUGCUAAGCACAUAGUGAGGAAAAAUGAAUUCACCACAAUGUACAGGAUCCAGCAGAGGGAAAUGGAGAAGCCAAUGUACUUUGUGGCUUUUCCUUUGAGAUCCUGCCAACAGGAGUUCAUGGGAUUGAUCAUGAUGUUCUGGAAGAUGCUCAAAAGGCUCUGCUCUACCUAACAGUACUAUCUGUACCUUCAAUAAAUCUGUACUGUCCUGUUAUUUCUGUGUCUUGCUCAAUCCUUGUUUUGGGGAAACCAAGGAUGUGGACUUCAAUUGGACAUCCCAAAGGUAACAGCACUGUUUCUCAGUUUGGCCCAAGGAAGUCCCAGUUCAUCCUGCUGUGGGUCAGGGACACCAGUCCUGAGCUGGGGGAAAGCCCCAGGAAAGCUGCCUGGGCUGUAGAGACAUGGACAAUGAGCACCUGGCCUCUGCCCUGUCUACCAGCCCCUUUGUGCCCAAGGGAAUAAAACCCCAGUUUGAGAACAGAGCUCAUAUACCACUUGUGCAGGUGGAUGGGUUCUGAGGGAGCUGUAGGUUCUUUCUGGGUCCCUGUCCCAUGAGUUCAAAGAGUGAAAUCCACAGAUGGUAGCAGAGUGUGUAAGUAAAAGGAGUGAGAUUAGUUUGAAUGAGAGGAGAAAUAUGGAACUCCCAUGAUGUCAGGGGAACCUGGUGAGGU
rnacentral:lncRNA from 1 species